rnacentral:rRNA from 1 species
UCCGUAGGCGGGCAAUUAAGUCAGAGGUGAAAUCCCACAGCUCAACUGUGGUACUGCCUUUGAUACUGGUUGUCUUGAGUUACAGUGAAGUAGAUAGAAUAUGUAGUGUAGCGGUGAAAUGCAUAGAUAUUACAUAGAAUACCGAUUGCGAAGGCAGUCUACUAACUGUAUACUGACGCUAAUGGACGAAAGCGUGGGGAGCGAACAGGAUUAGAUACCCUGGUAGUCC